CAGUCGCCACGGUAAUACGUAGGGCGCAAGCGUUAUCCGGAAUUAUUGGGCGUAAAGAGCUCGUAGGCGGUUUGUCGCGUCUGCCGUGAAAGUCCGGGGCUCAACCCCGGAUCUGCGGUGGGUACGGGCAGACUAGAGUGAUGUAGGGGAGACUGGAAUUCCUGGUGUAGCGGUGAAAUGCGCAGAUAUCAGGAGGAACACCGAUGGCGAAGGCAGGUUUCUGGGCAUUAACUGACGCUGAGGAGCGAAAGCAUGGGGAGCGAACAGGAUUAGAUACCCCUGUAGUCCCUGUCUCUUAUCC
rnacentral:rRNA from 1 species